GAUGAACGCUGGCGGCGUGCCUAAUACAUGCAAGUCGAGCGAACGGACGAGAAGCUUGCUUCUCUGAUGUUAGCGGCGGACGGGUGAGUAACACGUGGAUAACCUACCUAUAAGACUGGGAUAACUUCGGGAAACCGGAGCUAAUACCGGAUGAUAUUUUGAACCGCAUGGUUCAAAAGUGAAAGACGGUCUUGCUGUCACUUAUAGAUGGAUCCGCGCUGCAUUAGCUAGUUGGUAAGGUAACGGCUUACCAAGGCAACGAUGCAUAGCCGACCUGAGAGGGUGAUCGGCCACACUGGAACUGAGGCACGGUCCAGACUCCUACGGGAGGCAGCAGUAGGGAAUCUUCCGCAAAGGGCGAAAGCCUGACGGAGCAACGCCGCGUGAGUGAUGAAGGUCUUCGGAUCGUAAAACUCUGUUAUUAGGGAAGAACAUAUGUGUAAGUAACUGUGCACAUCUUGACGGUACCUAAUCAGAAAGCCACGGCUAGCUACGUG
rnacentral:rRNA from 1 species